ACCCUGUCGAGAGGAUCUGAAGUGGUUCAGGUUUUGUAGCACGCGGGGUUUCUGAGCAAAGGAAGCUGCUCUUCAGUGAGAAUGUGGCUCUUGAGAGGAAGGUGGUACCGACGGUGACCUGCACGGCACAAGGCUGCGGUGGGGAAGGAGCUGGUCCUCUGCCCUGAGUCUUCUGCUGGAGCCUGCCUCGGCCAUGCCCUCCCCUGCUGCUGCUCCUCUCCAGGAGAUGUGUCCCACCUGCGCUCGCUGAGACCAUCCCUGGCACCUCUGCUCUGCAUCAGCUCCAGUGCUGAGCUGGCAUCCCAGGUGCAAAGAUGCGACAGCGUUAAGGCUGCUCUGUGCCUUGCGCAAUCCUCCUGCCCUUGAGAUGAAUCUCAACCCAACUGAACCAUGGCAAGAGUUUGCUGGAGCGCGCUGCCUGAGCUUGCAGCGGGCUCUCCGCAAACACCGCUCCCUCUGACUCCAGCCGGCACUAUGGCUGUGGGACAUUUGAGCCGUGAUUUAUGUCCCACAAGAAAGUGCUGCAUCAUGUAUUUAGGCAGACAGAGUGUCAGUAAGACGUGGUUCGUGUGAACGCUCUUCAUAAAAGACUAUUACAAAAGCAAACAGAUCGAUCACUCCGGGCUUCACGGUUGGGAAGUAAGAACAAAAUGAGGCUUAAAUAGCGACGAGUCAAUGCAGCGAUGAAGUACCUAUUUAUCGGUAAAUAAAGGCUGGCUGCCAUUGCCGGCUUCGAAGCCCCUGUGCCCCCGAGGGGUUUGGAAAGUGGUGAUGCAAACUGAUGAGUCACAGUUUAGAACAAUAGUUUCUUCAUGCAAAAUGACUCAGGAUAAAAGAAAAACAGGUUUUUCAAGAAGCUGAAGCCUGUGAAAUUACAAAAAGCAAUAAAAUAAUAGGACGUCUUUAACCCUGUGUUGAAAGUAUUAAAUCUUUUUCUAAAGAUUAGUGCAGUGGUUGUGGUGGAUGCCUGAGACCAGUGGAUUAGACCGUACCUGUUUUCAGUCAGCUUUCCCCUUUCGGAGCGUGC